rnacentral:rRNA from 1 species
UACGUAGGGGGCAAGCGUUGUCCGGAAUCAUUGGGCGUAAAGCGCGUGUAGGCGGUUCUGUAAGUCUGCUGUGAAAGUCCAGGGCUCAACCCUGGGAUGCCGGUGGAUACUGCAGGGCUAGAGUACGGAAGAGGCGAGUGGAAUUCCCGGUGUAGCGGUGAAAUGCGCAGAUAUCGGGAGGAACACCUAUUGCGAAGGCAGCUCGCUGGGACGUUACUGACGCUGAGGCGCGAAAGCGUGGGGAGCGAACAGG